CUUGGCCGUAUUCCGUUUUUCAGAAUCACCACUGUAUAAAAUUUAAAGCCACAGGAAAUUUGGUUAAAAGUGUGUGAUGAAGGCAUCUCAGACGCAGUAGGCGUGCCACUGACACCAACAAACAAUCUGUGAAGAAAUGAAAGACGUAUUUGAAGUUUAACUGUGAAGAAAUGGAAGACAUUUAUGGAGCUAUUGUGUUCUAUUUUGCUGGAUGGUACCAUUACUUCUUGUUCUCCGUCUUCAUUUUGGACAUUGUACUGAUUUGCAUUAUAACAUGCCUGGAAAUUGACUCGAACCGGAGAUUCAGAAAUUUCAUCAGGUCAGACGAAACUGCAACAACCUUAUUAACGACCUACAAACACCACCACGACCGUGACGUGUUUUGAUCAAAGUCUCGCUCCUGGCAUUGCUCUAGAAAUGAUUCCAAGCUUCAUAUUUAUUAUAUUAUAACUUUAUAUUUUUAUAUUAUUUGAUUGCUUCUCUUGCAUGUUUUAUGACUUUGAUUAUUACUUCGCUGAUCUGUUGAAAGUAUAUAAUUUCCCAUCUGCUUCAUCUGAUGAUGUUCUUUUAAUAAAUCUGAAAACCUGCGCUAAAUUCCUAAAAAGUUAAAGCUUUGAGAGGUUAAAAGUAGGCGAUGCUAUAGAAACAGUAAGCUCAUAUGUGCUAGUCAAGAACUUUUGCUCAGAACUUUUGCUUAAUUUCAAUAUCAAAAUGUUUUUGCUUAAUAUCAUGCUUUAAUCCCAACCUUUAUUAAACAGUUUUUGAGCCUUUUCUCUAAAUAAUAUCACAUUUUAAGAAUUUUUGUAAAGAUGCUUUGGGAGGACGGUCGUUGAAAUUAAUAUUCUAAUAACUAAUAUUCUAAUAAGGCCAAGGGAAAUAAUAGGACACUCACUGGUACAAACAAAUACAAGAUGAUAAUCUCUUAAGACUUUCGAACACAACAGUAUGUACAGUUCACACAGAAUAGGUGUGAAAAACACCCAGUCAGUUGCAGGUCUGUGGCAGGAAAUGUUCAUGAGAAAGUACAAAUGAGAAUGACAUUUUUGUUUUGCUGUUUGUUGACUAAGAAAAAAAAAAGGUCAAAGAAGAAGCACAGAUACAUACGAGCAUGUGUUUUUCUGGUUGUUUUCAGUUGUUUCUAUGACCAUAUUAUUAAUAAUAAUAAUAAUAAUAAUAAUAAUGUAAUUUCGAGAGUUCAUAUUCCGGUCAUUCCCAUAUUCCGGUAGUGGUAAAAUUUAAACAUUAUAGAAGUAGUGAUAACUUUUGUUCUAUCUGAUAUAGCCCAAAAACGCAGUUUGAUGACCGAAGCCACCCCGUUAACACGCACUGGCAAGGCUUUUAUAUAAGCAUAAGUAAUAUAUAUCUUUGUUUAAUCAUUAUUGACUUAUGUUGUGUUGCCAGCACAUAUUUUAAGGGUAAAAAUGAAGGCUGUGGCAACCCAAAUAAUCACUCUUUGGGUAAAAAUAAAGUGGUAAGCAGGGGGGCAUCUCACUGCAAUUUUGAGCAAAGUUUUCCAGCAAGAUCAGGAAUCUGAUAAUAUAAUGACACAGGUGACCACACUGCUUUUUAUAAAAGAGAUAAUUUGGGUUUAAUGUGAAAUUCACCACCUCAUUUAAUUUUAACCUGGAACAAGACAUUCAUCAUUGUCUUGACACACAAUGAUGUUAUUAAAACUUAAUUAAAAAUAGGCAGUGUAUUAUAUCCAACAGAUGUAUGAGAACAAAAAUCUCUUAAAUCUGUGUCAAAAUCUGUCUAGACGACCCUGUUAUACUGAAGUGCAAAAAAAAAGUUGCAUGGGAGUAAGAUAUUAUUAUUAAUAAAGUAAAUGUAAACAUU